UACGUAGGGGGCAAGCGUUGUCCGGAAUUAUUGGGCGUAAAGCGCGCGCAGGCGGUUUUUUUAAGUCUGGUGUUUAAGCCCGGGGCUCAACCCCGGUUCGCAUCGGAAACUGGAAGACUUGAGUGCAGGAGAGGAAAGUGGAAUUCCACGUGUAGCGGUGAAAUGCGUAGAGAUGUGGAGGAACACCAGUGGCGAAGGCGACUUUCUGGACUGUAACUGACGCUGAGGCGCGAAAGCGUGGGGAGCAAACAGG
rnacentral:rRNA from 1 species